rfam:Fibrobacter sp. TWH6 genome assembly, contig: Ga0136285_112
GGUGCCAUCGUCUAGUGGUCUAGGACACUGGCCUCUCACGCCGGCAACGAGGGUUCGAGUCCCUCUGGCACUA